rnacentral:tRNA from 49 species
UCGUUAGCUCAGUUGGUAGAGCAGUUGACUUUUAAUCAAUUGGUCGCAGGUUCGAAUCCUGCACGACCCACCA